rnacentral:snRNA from 1 species
GUCGAUAAUUGUAUUUUGCUUGUU